GAGGCUUUGGGACUCGGACUGAGCCACUACUGGCUUCCUUGCUCUUCAGCUUGCGGAGAGCCUAUCUUGGAACUUCAUCUUGUGAUUCUAUGAGGUAAAUCUCCUGUCAAAGGAUUGGAGAGAAGGAACCAACCGUCUUUCACUCACCCACUUAGAACCUUCUGGAAGCCCUGACUGCCUUGCUGUAAGGUCGGCUGAAUGGAAAGAGACAAAGGCUGUUGGCCCUGAUAACAGAGGACAUGGAGAACACUGACGGGCCAGCACAGAGAGGUGUCAAACCUACAUUGCAGCCUGAAGGAUGUCUUCACUUCCUCCUGCCCCUUCGCCUUGUAUCCUUCAUAGAUUUCUCCCGC